UCAACCCAUUUAAGCUUCUAACCCAUCAAAUUAAAUGAGUUCAUGGGUUGACUCAACUCAUUUGCUUAAAUGAGUUGAGUCAACCCAUGAACUCAUUUAACUCUAAACUCAUUGGGUAAUGAGU
rnacentral:pre_miRNA from 1 species